GGUUCGAUGGUGUAGUUGGUUUAUCACUUCUGUCUAACAUCUUCCCAAUUGGGCAGUAGUUCCACAGGCGGUCCUCAGUUCGAGCCUGGGUCGAAUCA